rnacentral:rRNA from 1 species
CACGUAGGGCGCAAGCGUUGUCCGGAAUUAUUGGGCGUAAAGAGCUCGUAGGCGGUCUGUUACGUCUGCUGUGAAAACCCAGGGCUUAACCCUGGGCUUGCAGUGGAUACGGGCAGACUAGAGGCAGGUAGGGGAGAAUGGAAUUCCCGGUGUAGCGGUGGAAUGCGCAGAUAUCAAGAGGAACACCUGAGGUGAAGACGGGUUGCUGGGCCAACACUGACGCUGAUGCGCGAAAGCCAGGGGAGCAAACGGG